rnacentral:misc_RNA from 1 species
GUGAAAAUUUUUUUAUGCUAAAUUUUAUGCAUAUUGUGAGUGAAAGCCAAAAGAGCUAUGAGACCCUGGUAGAGACACCUAUACAUUUUCUCAAACCAAUCAUCAAUGUCCAACUAGUCUUAUUUGCAUCACUAAAGUAAUUGCUUGAGUUGGAUAAGAAAUUUGCUAUACUUUCUACCUCAAGUUCUUUCCUGACAUGAAUGCUAGGAUGC